UACAGAGGUCUCAAGCGUUGUUCGGAUUCAUUGGGCGUAAAGGGUGUGUAGGUGGCGCGCUAAGUCGGGUGUGAAAUUUCGGAGCUUAACUCCGAAACUGCAUUUGAUACUGGCGUGCUUGAGGACUGGAGAGGAGACUGGAAUUCAUGGUGUAGCAGUGAAAUGCGUAGAGAUCAUGAGGAAGACCAGUGGCGAAGGCGGGUCUCUGGACAGUUCCUGACACUGAGACAUGAAGGCCAGGGGAGCAAACGGG
rnacentral:rRNA from 1 species